AAGAUCAUACUUCACAGGAUCACUUCUGUAGUUGAUCUUGCCUUCUCUAAUCCAUAAAUUAGAGUCGAUGCAGCCACGAUGACGAGACGUGGCUCCUUUCCCUGAGCGUGAGGACGACUUGGGAAGUUAACUUUGCUUAAUUUCCCAGUCAUCGAUGAUCGUUCACCCCUUGCACUCAGUGCGAGGGGAAUGGGAAGUGGAGCUGUCUGAGUGGU